CACCCCCCUAAAUCUUGGAUUUUCCACCAAAACAGACCUAAAUUCCAACAUUUACCCCAAAAAUGGCACACUUCCUCUGUUAAACUUUUUUCCACAGUUAAUUUGCAGUUAAGCAUAUAUAAACUAAACAUUUUAAGCCAAGAAACAUUAGGGGUUAGUGUGCAUUAAAAAAAGUUUUAUGUCAUUUACUAUCCUCACCCCACCCUAAAAAUCU
rnacentral:lncRNA from 1 species